rnacentral:lncRNA from 1 species
CAUUUGGAUCAAUGCAAUUUUGACCUUUGAGCUGAGAGACAGAAAAGUAAAGGACCUGCUGUGAGUUGAAGAUUCAGUACAGUCAUACCAUCAAUUCAACAACUCCAUCUUUAACCUUAAGAAACACAAAGAACUCCUAAACUGUUGGAAGACUUACCAGACAGAAGCUGUGCCUGAGGAAUCAGAAGCACAAUGUCUAAUGUUCCUGAAGACUUUUCUUAAUGAAGCCUUUGAGCAAUUUGAAGGCAAGAGCUUCAAGAAAUCCCUGUGUUGAUAACCAGACAUUAAACAUGUUCUCCAUCUUCUGAGGAUCUUUCUGGAAAAAGGAUGUUGUACAUUUUUUGUGUUCUACCUACCCAGCAACAGGAGAAUGCAACACUCUGUCACUCCAUUUUCUCAGCUUCCUCAACAGUGUGCUGUUGACUUCCAAGUCCUAAUCCUCUGCUAACAGAUGCACAGAACCUGUGCCAAAAGAAUAUAAAAUGACAUAAUCAGGUUGUGGCAUAAUGUGUGAGGUCAAGAGCCUGGAAACAGCACUCCUUCAGCCUUCUUCGCUGUUACAGUUCCUCUCUCCUGUACAUUUCUGAUAAUGUAAUGUUAUGUGUAUGCAUAAACAGUUUGACAACAGGAAAAGAAUCAAUAUUUUAGGAAAUACAUGUUACUUCCUUAGGUCUGUGCAAGAAUUUUAUGGGUUUUUUUUAUAAAAAGCAUGUUGCAUAUUAAAAGUUGCUUCUUUCUGCACCACAAAUGUCUUCUUGGUCACUGUCUUCAUCCUUCUAAAGCCUGCGUGAAGUAAUAAGGCAUUGAUGCAGGAAGAUGAGGGAACACUGAAGAUGAUACACCUAUGUCUCUGCAGUAAAGGCCUGAUUAAGAUGUUGUAUGACCCAAGAUCUCAGUC